rnacentral:rRNA from 1 species
UAUAAAGUGGCGAACGGGUGAGUAACACGUGGGCAACCUGCCCUUUGCACUGGGAUAGCCUCGGGAAACCGAGGUUAAUACCGGAUACUCCAUAUUUGUCGCAUGGCGAAUAUGGGAAAGCUCCGGCGGCAAAGGAUGGGCCCGCGGCCUGUUAGCUAGUUGGUGGGGUAGUGGCCUACCAAGGCAAUGAUGGGUAGCCGGGUUGAGAGACCGACCGGCCAGAUUGGGACUGAGACACGGCCCAGACUCCUACGGGAGGCAGCAGCA